rnacentral:sRNA from 1 species
UCCUAGCCCUGAUGGAAGCGGCAUCCUUUGAUUACCUCCUUUAGGAAAUCAAAGAUACAGCGCACAGCAGGAAAUGGC